rnacentral:rRNA from 1 species
CUACGGGUGGCUGCAGUGGGGAAUAUUGCACAAUGGGGGGAACCCUGAUGCAGCAACGCCGCGUGGAGGAUGACGCAUUUCGGUGUGUAAACUCCUUUUAUAUGUCAAGAAAAUGACGGUAGCAUAUGAAUAAGCACCGGCUAACUCCGUGCCAGCAGCCGCGGUAAUACGGAGGGUGCAAGCGUUACCCGGAAUUACUGGGCGUAAAGGACGCGUAGGAGGGUUGGAAAGUCAGGUGUGAAAUCCUACAGCUUAACUGUAGAACUGCACUUGAAACUUCUAAUCUAGAGUAUGGGAGGGGGAGAUGGAAUUAGUGGUGUAGGGGUAAAAUCCGUAGAUAUCACUAGGAAUACCUAAAGCGAAGGCGAUCUCCUGGAACAUUACUGACGCUAAGGCGUGAAAGCGUGGGGAGCAAACAGGAUUAGAUACCCCCGUAGUC